rnacentral:rRNA from 1 species
GACGAACGCUGGCGGCGUGCUUAACACAUGCAAGUCGAACGGAAAGGCCCUGCUUGCCGGGUACUCGAGUGGCGAACGGGUGAGUAACACGUGGGUGAUCUGCCCUGCACUUCGGGAUAAGCCUGGGAAACUGGGUCUAAUACCGGAUAGGAGCCAUUUUUAGUGUGAUGGUUGGAAAGUUUUUUCGGUGUAGGAUGAGCUCGCGGCCUAUCAGCUUGUUGGUGGGGUAAUGGCCUACCAAGGCGGCGACGGGUAGCCGGCCUGAGAGGGUGGACGGCCACAGUGGGACUGAGAUACGGCCCAGACUCCUACGGGAGGCAGCAGUGGGGAAUAUUGCACAAUGGGCGCAAGCCUGAUGCAGCGACGCCGCGGGGGGGAGGACGGCCUUCGGGUUGUAAACUCCUUUCGCUAGGGACGAAGCUUUUUGUGACGGUACCUAGAGAAGAAGCACCGGCUAACUACGUG